rnacentral:misc_RNA from 1 species
CCGUGGGGCUUCGGCCCUGUCGUGAUAGAACCCUUGCCUUUUGAGUACCGUCCGUUUCCUCGGCAGGCCCGCCUGCCAAUGGGGACCCCCAAUAAACCCUUUUAUGUACCUGUAUCAGUCUGAAAAACAAACAAAAGUUA